rnacentral:misc_RNA from 1 species
AACGCACAUUGCGCCCCUUGGUAUUCCAUGGGGCAUGCCUGUUCGAGCGUCAUUUGUACUCUCAAGCAUUGCUUGGUGUUGGGUGUUUGUCCUAACAAUGGUUGGGACUCGCCUUAAAACAAUUGGCAGCCAGCGUAUUAGACUUGGAGCGCAGCACAAUUUGCGUCUUCUUGCGAAUAAACUGGCAACCAUCAAGCCUAAUUUUCACGCUUGACCUCGGAUCAGGUAGGGAUACCCGCUGAACUUAA